AUUACUUUGGCAGAAUAGUGUGAUAGAUUUAGAAUCUUUUUAUAUAGAUAAAACUAUAGGUAAUA
rnacentral:tRNA from 1 species